UACAAGAGCAGAAUCCAGCUGCCUGGUUCGACAUCUUAUAGCGGUCUGUUCCACAGUUUAACAGCUGUGCAGCUGCGGCUUCUCCCAUCUGUUUCCUAGGGUUUGUUUAUGUUACUAUGAGUGAUGGUUAUGAUUAGAGCUUCGCCACCAGUGACGAUAUCAUUAUAUGGUGGAAGGUGUACCAAUGUCAAUUUUGGAUGUUGUACGCCAAUAAUAAUUGCGAUUUGAACAGUUUCUGAUGUUAAUGAUGAAAGAGACUUAAAAUGUGGGAGACGAGCGAAUUCUAAAAUGAAUGAAGCAUGCAUGAGUCACAAAACUGAUCGCCACCAUCUUACAGAUUUUCCAGAAACAGUUUUAUUUACUCAACUAAGUGUGGUAUGGAAUAAAACACUGGAUUUGGAAGUAGUACUACGAGAACAUGAACGGAGCUAUCCAAGAAGAAAUUGACCCCUUUGUUAUUUUUGUCAAUUAGCAAAUUUAAGGUUUAUUUGUAUUUUUAAGAUGCAACGUGAGUACUUAAUUUACGAAAAUUUUUAAGUAUGGCAGAAUAACCUGGCACAGAAUAAUCAGGCAUAAAAAAUUUUCGCAUGUUGAGAAUUUGACGAAAUUGAUUUGAUCUAAGUAAACCCUUUCUAACUGUUCUGUCAUUUUUCGUUUCAAUGUAUGAUCUGACAUGAAUUUCUCUUAAGCGUUAUUGUUGUAUCUUGAUAAUUAUUUUGUUGAUCUUCCCACUAUGAUCAUAUUGGGUGGAAAUCCAUAACAGCAUAGUAUUGGUACAUACGUAGUUAUGAAGUAACUCACAUUAUUUACCUUUGGAUUCAGAGUGCGUUGAAAAGUAUUCACAAAAAAAACCUUUCAGGGAGUUCCAUUAGAGGAAGCCAAUCACAUAAAAUUUAAGAUAUCAUCGCAGAUAUUACUUGCAAGAAAUCAUUUUUUCUGUUUCAAGUUCUGUCAGUUUGGAGACUGUACUCAUAAAUUAUUGGACAUGGCUAUUGUGCAUGUUCGUUCUACACACUACUACUUCCCUACCUUUUCCUGAAAGUUAGAAAUAUCGAUGUAUUGUUCAGACAGUGUGCCAAGAUCGCAGCGCGUCGUAAAUUGUAACAUAUUUAAAGUACAUGUUAUGUUCCGGCUGAGGAUGAAAGAAACAUUUCGUCAGUUACUUACAUGCAAUAAACAUUUCUCUUACGCGUUAUUGUUGUAUCUUGAUAAUUAUUUUGUUGUUCGUCCCACUAUGCUAAUGUUGGAUGGAAAGCCAUAACAAUAUAGUAUUGGUAUAUACAUAGUUAUGAAGCAACUCACAUUAUUUACUUUCGGAUAUUUUCAGUAACAUUAAAACAAUUCUUUAGUAUGAUUUCUUUCUAUCUGAGGACGGAUUCGGCUGCCAACAGAAACAUCAUGAAUCAAAACCGUGUAGAAAUUAGAAGAAACAGAACUUCUUGCUGCUCAAUAAACUUAUAUGUAUGCUGCAGCUGCAAGGAAACUGGAAGUGGAGUGUGAAUGUUCAGAUUAACUUAUACUUUAUUGUUUGUUAGCAAACAUGUUUCCAGAUUAAUGUGCGAGUCAACUGCCUUUCCAAUUGAAAGACAUGUUUGCUUCUUUUAAUUUGUUCAUAACCGAACAUUAAUAUAUAAAUUAUUUGUAAACUCUAAUGUAUGAAAAUAUGUAUGAGGAAAUUUCCUUAGAAACGUACGAUUUAACAAAAGUUUUUCAACGUUAGGUCAAUUUCUUUAAUGUCACAAAUUACAGAAUUUUUUUUUUAAAUGGAGACAUAUAAUACCGCUUCAAAACGAAAAUGACUCAGUCUCUAUUUCCUUACUUUUCACAAAGUAACUUCGAUAUUUAUUUUCAAAGAAUCUGCAAAGUAAUGAGAAUAUUACUACACAGAACAAAUAAAAGGAUAAACUGUCACGCUUAUUUUGAAAUGGCACUGUUCAAACAACUGAAAAUUUAUAUUUUAAUGUGCUACAUUGUUCUAUAUUCAUUCAUGUGUAUGCUUGUCUGUGCUAGGCAAGAAUGUACUUCAUUGUUCUAUGUUCGUUCCCGCAUAUGACUAUCUGUUUAUAAAAGUUGAAAUUCCAAUUCCAUGAAGUGUUCUGACAUUAAUUCAAAUGUGAUUAUUUCUUUUCUAAUGUAAACGGUUAACAUACACUGAAGUUCUUAACUUUGAAAGGCUAAAAGCAAAAACAAAAAAAGAUAUAAGUAGAAAUAGGAUAAAAUGGUUCUCAACACGUGAAAUAAGAUCUCACAAACAGUUAUGUAUCUUGAAUACAGAGUUACAAUAUUCUAAAAGGUUGUGUUGUAUUGUCAUUUUGUAUUUUGAUAAAGUAACUUACGAUAUAUGUAAAUACUUGAACAUAACAAAGUGCUUCUCAGCAAAUCAGGUAAAACCUUAAAAACAGGAAAUAUCUCGUACUACUGUAAAUGACUGUAUUAUGUUUUCGUAUUGGAAAUCAUGAAUAUUGCUUACGAUACAUGGAAAUAUUUGAAUAAAUAAUAAUAAAUACAGCUGUCAGCGUAAUGAAGAUGUAUUUUUUAUACUAGUCAUAGCCAUUUUGUGUAAACUAAAGUACCACUGAAGCAUCAGGAAUGUCAUAAAUCCCUCCAGCCUUUGUUGCCAAUAGAUUGACCCUGAUAAUGGCGCUGCUUUUUAUUCAAGGAGCUUCUU